GCAUCGCUGUGAGACCCUCUCCUCCUCCCCUCACUUCACGAGCUUGCUCUCCCGCCCGUAGCUAGCUCCCCUCCGUUGUUGUGCCCGCGUCGCCGCCGUUUGCCUCGCUGCCGCAGCCACAGGGAGCCUGACUCGCUCCCAAGCACGCAGACGUGCUCUUGGGGCUCCCAGGAGCCCAACACACGCACUCGUCUGCUUCCCCCGCUCCCCACUUUCGCCCGAAAGCACCGCCGCCUCUACUCGACGCCGGUCGCGUUUCCGGCCACCUUCGGCCCGACCACCACCGUAGAAUGGUGCUGCCUCGAACGCUGGUUCGAACGCGCCUUCACGUGCGCCAAAUAAACGCUUGUAGGCGUUUUCCGAGCGCACUGAAGGGAGGCAAAGUGACUGUUGUCGACUCCAUCUCACGGGGCCAGGCCUCCCGCCCGCGCCGCGACGCCGGCGGCCUGGAGGCCCGGCUGGCUUGAGCAGCCGCCACGGUGUGAGAUGUACAGGCGAGUUGUCUGGGGACCGCGCGGCGGACGUGGCAGCGAGAUCCACGAGGAGCACGAGGCGGUGCAGCAAGAUCGACAAGGACGGUGCGACUACGGGGUGGAGGUGGGUUACACAAGAGGAUGAGGGGAUUGAGAGAUGAUGGUGGAGGCAGCGACUGUUUGAAGCACAUUAAAAUAUUCAUCAUUGGUGCAGGUGUGAGGAUAACUAGUCAGACGUCAUGUUUCAGAAUCCCCCUUUCAAGGUUCCCUCCCCCACAGAUUCAACAUCACCUGUAUCUGAAGAACAUCAAAGGAGACGAUUGCACUAUCACACAAUAUGAGGCCAUGUUUGCAUAGCCGAAGACUUGCUCCCUCGCAAUAUUAGUUGUUGGUGGUAUUGUAUUGCAGAUUUUGGUAAGCUUGGACAUUUAACUUAGCGUCAACUUUUUUAUCCUUUUUCGACGUUGCCUAAAUGUAGUGCCCCAAGUGUAAAGCUUUUCCUUUUUGUAACCUUCCAUGUGGGAUCACCUUGACAUGUUAUGAGAGAGUCCUAUUGCUUC